UCGGGACGUAGCUCAGCCUGGUAGAGUGCCUGCUUUGGGAGCAGGAGGCCGCAAGUUCGAAUCUUGUCGUCCCGAU
rnacentral:tRNA from 1 species